CCUACGGGCGGCUGCAGUCGAGAAUCAUGCACAAUGGGGGAAACCCUGAUGGGGCGACGCCGCGUGGGGGAAUGAAGGUCUGCGGAUUGUAAACCCCUGUCAUGUGGGAGCAAAUUAAAAAGAUAGUACCACAAGAGGAAGAGACGGCUAACUCUGGGCCAGCAGCCGCGGUAAUACAGAGGUCUCAAGCGUUGUUCGGAAUCACUGGGCGUAAAGCGUGCGUAGGCUGUUUCGUAAGUCGUGUGUGAAAGGCGCGGGCUCAACCCGCGGACGGCACAUGAUACUGCGAGACUAGAGUAAGGUAGGGGGAACCGGAAUUCUCGGUGUAGCAGUGAAAUGCGUAGAUAUCGAGAGGAACACUCGUGGUGAAGGCGGGUUCCUGGACAUUAACUGACGCUGAGGCACGAAGGCCAGGGGAGCGAAAGGGAUUAGAUACCCUAGUAGUC
rnacentral:rRNA from 1 species